CAUAUCCCCAUUUUCCAUAUCUAGGUUCCCAUCGUCUUCUAGCGUUUUCUUUUCCCUUUUCAUGUUCUAUUAGGGCUACAUUUUCUCCAGGUGGAAUUGAAAUCCUGUUGCAUUCUUUAAGUAUUUAACCUAUGCUCCACAAGAGAGACAACAGUUGAAGAAGAGCAGAAGAGGAUCCAACUAUUUGGCAGAAUUGAAAUCCAGUUUCAACAGAGUGGUUUCAUUUCUGGGGUUGAAUCACUUCCUAUUUGGGCAUCCGCUAUUAUUUAAGGUAUUCAAAAGGCUCAAAGCUUUUCCCCUUUGCUUGGUUAGAGUGUGCCUAUUUGGAAAGGAAGUGUAGUGCGAAAUAACAGAGGAGUAUAUACCAAGGCUAUGGUGGUGGCGGCAAUGGUCACAAUCACCUUAUACCAUUUCGGGUACAGGGAGACAGGUGGUUCAGCUCAGUGGGACCUCUAGAUCUAGCAGUGGUCAGUACGCUCCAUAUGAUCCGGAGCUAAAGUCAGUUUUGGUAUGCCCCUUUGAGAUGUGUAUACGUAUGAGUAUGACAGGGCCCUGUCCCGUCCUUUCUACAGCUUUUAUUCUAGUAGAGGUCUGUAGACAGUUGUAUGUAGUAGUCAGAUGAUGUAGCCUUGUCGGCUUCUAUUCUUUUGUGUACAGUAUAUGUAGCAGCCAAGCUGGCUUGCACUGUUCUUCCGCAUGUCGUGUAUAUCUAUGCAGAUUGUACAGAGUUCUGAUGUUUUUCUCUUAUGAGAUCAGUUUAUGCCA